rnacentral:lncRNA from 1 species
AGCUUCACAACAAACAACACACGCAGCGACACAAACCCUAAUGUAACUCUCAGGGAUACCAUAAAACUUAGCACCAACAGUCCAACUCUGCUUGAUCCUAUCAAUAGUUUCCUUAACCCCUAAGUGUUUCAUAUCGGUAUCUGCGUGGAAACUCAUCACAAUCUCCUCCCACUGGUUAAUGUGUGGCACAAAUUGCUGAGAAUUGUUCUUGAAACAAAGGAAAGGGUUACCAGUGGGGUCCACAUGAGUGGAGAGUUUAUCCUGGAUACGUUUCCAGGCAGUUAGGUAGGCAGUCUCCUCGUUUCGAUCCUUCCAGACAGUCCGCCACGAGUCGAGGACUGGCCGAGGCGUGACUGUCCGGAUCUCGUCGGGGGUUGCGAGGCGGGCUUGGAGAAGGCAGUGGAUCAUUAGGGAAUGGGAAUCGGAGUUGAAGGUGUAGAAUUGAGAGGAGAUGUGAGGGUCAGGUGAGAUAUGAGGUUGAGGUUGAGGAAACGGUGUCGUUUUUAGGGGUGAGUUUGAAGAUGAGUGACUCGGUGGGGAAUCGGAAGGGGAAGAAGGGAAGAUGUCGAUUUCAGGGAGUGAGAAAUAAGAAGGGUCGGUGGGAGUGGAGGAAGAGUGGAGGAUCUGGUUUUGGAGGAAGAGGUCAUCUUCCUCUCUUUUGCUUGAAUUCAUGGGACAAAAACAAAUUGGAAGGAGUUUGGUGAGUGGGGAAAUGAGAAAUGGGGAAUGGGAUUUUGGUUUAAUGUUAUGUUUAUAUGAUUGACAUGUUCAAAAAACAACACAUGUUUUAGUUCAACUUCCAACACAAUUUUUUUUCUUUAUGAUGUUUCUUAUUGUCAAAUUAUAGUCAAGUGGGAACUACCAAGGUGGAGUAUGAUAAGGGCAAAGAGAAUUUUGGGUGGAGCGAUGAAAUGUGUAAAAAUCGGAGAAAACGACAUUAAUAAUAUAAGUUGAAUGAUGUGGAAUAUUAUACUACGAUGUUAGGUUGUAAGAAUGAUGAUUUUUCAUUCAUAUAAAAAUGUCUUGAAACAACAAGGUCAAUUGUAUGUGAUGUUGAUUACAUGCCAACAAAAAAGAGUUCAUAUGUUACAAAUCUAUUUGUCGCCUCUAGGUCUUCUUAAAUGCUUAAUUAGGACAUCACUAAAAGUAGCUUUUAAGCUACUCAAUGAAAAGUUUAAAAUGCACUUACCAUAUUUUGAUGAAAACUAUGGAUUUAGUUAACCUUAAGUUGGUUGUUGACUUGUGUACUUAGUGUGCAAACCUAAAUUAUAGAAGAGAUAGAUAAACUACUUGUCUAAUCAUAAAAGAUCACUUGUUUAAAAUGUUAAAGAGUGUACUAGCUUCCCUAAGAAAAUGAUUUGACCAUAAGACUAAAAGUUGUACUUCCAAGACAGCCAACUUUAAUGUUGAAUUGUAAUUCAAACAUAAAUGACUCAAGAUAGAACAAUUGUUAAUAUGAGAAAUAAGAGCAAUUAAUAUGUACCAAUGAAUCUUAUUUGAAUUAUCAAUGUAAAGAAAUGGAUUUAUAUGUUUUAUUGUUCAAUACUACAUUGUUUAUAUCCACAAAAAUUAUUCCUACAAUCUAUCCAAAUUUGUUUACAUAUCACCUUUAUAUUUGAUUUUAGGAUAACUUAAUCAAUCUAUACAAAUUUGUUUACCUAUCACCUUCAGAUUUGGUUUGUUAAUGCAGUAAUGACAAACCAAAUCCAUGUAAACAGAUUUGUUUAGAUUGAUUAGGUUGUUAUUAUCCUAAUAUCAAACAUGAAGGUGAUAUGCAAACAUAUUUUUUUAGAUUGAUUAGGUUGCUAUUAUCCUAAAAUCAAAUCUAAAAGUGAUAUGUAAACAAAAAAAAUUAGAUUUUAGGAACAAUUUUUGUGUAUAUAAACAAUGCACUAUUGAGGAAUAAAACAUCUGAAUCCAUUUCUUUAUAUGGUAUUAGAGCCAACAAAAAAUAAAUUGAAAAAAUUUAUAUGGCACACAUGAUGACUGGAGGUGAAGGUUCUGUGAUAUAUUCAAGAACCGGAUAUGUUCAGAAGAAAAAGCAUUCACCUUGGAUACUUGAUAAUGGAAAAUUGAAUCACGUGAAAGGGGAUUUGCAACACUUAUGCAACAUGAGGGACGUGUUUGGAUGUCCUGUUUGACUUCCAAAUGAACACACUGUCAUCUCUAAUAAGGAAAGAAUAAUAAAAUUUUCUGAUAAUUUAAAAUCUUGAACAUGUACUUUAUGUACCUCAUUUCAAAUGCAACUUGAUUUCUACAUCACAAUUGUCACAUGACUCAAACUAUAAUGUUCAUUUUACUGGUUAUCUAUGUGCUAUAGAGGACUGAACCUCGAAGAUGAUGAUUGGUUCGGGUGAAGGAAGGAAUGGACUCUAUCUUUUUCAGCAAGUACCAACGAAGAAGGUAUGCAAAGUUGAAAAAAUGACACAACCUUAUGCUUAGCCGCGAGCUCUUGCAACCUACUCGGAACCUCCUUAGCAGGCACAUCAAAACUCUCAGUAUACUCAAACCUACGCCUCUUAUUCCUAGCACCAGCCGAUCCAGACGCAGCUUCACAACAAACAACACACGCAGCGACACAAACCCUAAUGUAACUCUCAGGGAUACCAUAAAACUUAGCACCAACAGUCCAACUCUGCUUGAUCCUAUCAAUAGUUUCCUUAACCCCUAAGUGUUUCAUAUCGGUAUCUGCGUGGAAACUCAUCACAAUCUCCUCCCACUGGUUAAUGUGUGGCACAAAUUGCUGAGAAUUGUUCUUGAAACAAAGGAAAGGGUUACCAGUGGGGUCCACAUGAGUGGAGAGUUUAUCCUGGAUACGUUUCCAGGCAGUUAGGUAGGCAGUCUCCUCGUUUCGAUCCUUCCAGACAGUCCGCCACGAGUCGAGGACUGGCCGAGGCGUGACUGUCCGGAUCUCGUCGGGGGUUGCGAGGCGGGCUUGGAGAAGGCAGUGGAUCAUUAGGGAAUGGGAAUCGGAGUUGAAGGUGUAGAAUUGAGAGGAGAUGUGAGGGUCAGGUGAGAUAUGAGGUUGAGGUUGAGGAAACGGUGUCGUUUUUAGGGGUGAGUUUGAAGAUGAGUGACUCGGUGGGGAAUCGGAAGGGGAAGAAGGGAAGAUGUCGAUUUCAGGGAGUGAGAAAUAAGAAGGGUCGGUGGGAGUGGAGGAAGAGUGGAGGAUCUGGUUUUGGAGGAAGAGGUCAUCUUCCUCUCUUUUGCUUGAAUUCAUGGGACAAAAACAAAUUGGAAGGAGUUUGGUGAGUGGGGAAAUGAGAAAUG